UAAAAAUGUCUCGGAACUAGAUAGAGGCAAUGGUUGCACAGCAGGGCCAAUGCACUAAAUGUCACUUUAAAGUGGUUAAUUUUAUAUUAUGUGAAUUUUAGCUUAAUAAAACAUGACAACGAGAGAAUGGGAACCACUAGCACAGCAUCGACCAUAUUUUGUUCACCUGUGCUUAUGCAGCCCAGCACUGGCCAUGGCAAGUGGGUGUUGGCUGAUGUCACAAUCAUCGCCGAGACGUAGACCCCCCAGCUUCGACCGCAGAGUUCUCUGCACAGCGGCAGUGGCUUUCACUUUCUGGUGUCAUCUAUGGCUCUCUGUGAAGGUCUGCGGUGACCUCUCAGCAUUCUGGGUCGUGACCAGCAGGACGCAUUGCUUUGAAGUCCAAGAACUCUUCCUGCUUUUUGGGGGAGGACGCACUUCCCUGCCUGUCAGGGCACAGCCUGCCACCACUGAGGGCCAGUGUUCAGGACCAACACAGAGUGAGCCGUCAGCAGUCACCCACCAAUUAAUUACUCAUCACAGCAAAGCUAUUUCAACAGAUUACUCGACAAACUUUGCCUCCUCAAUGAGCGGGGUCCUGUAUUUCCCUUACGCUCUGCUGGCUAGGCUGCGAUGCCCUGAAACGGAUCGUUUGGUUUUGUGAUGCCUACACCCAUUUCCUCAAGGCCCCCCGGGGGUGUUAGGUUGGUGUUCCAGAUGAAAUCAGAUGCCCGCAGAUGCCACAUUGGUUUUUGAGGAUUUCCUGAGGUCCCUGCAGAAAAUGAGAGGCGCUUCAGGAUGUCGCGGGUCAGGAAAGUAUCUUAUGGCACAGCGCUGAUGGAUAAACUGUGCUUGGCCUUAAGGCUGAUUUCCAAUGACUUCUUCUUUUUCUUGUCCUUUCCGGCUGUUCUCCGUCCUCGGGCCCAGGCGUUCUCUCCAACCUUCACCAAACUCAUUUGGGUCCCACAGCACACAGGGCCCUCAGCAGGACCCUUGUCUCCGGCUUCUGCUCGGGUUUCCCCAGGUAGCAGGGCCUGGCAACUGCUCCCCGUCCCUCAUCCCUGGCUACUUCACUCUCCCUUGGUGGUGAUUUAAAAUGUGUCCAUUAAGAGUUCCUUUAUUUAUCUUGGAAAUCCCACCUGCAGUACUUCUGUUUCCUGCUGGGGCCCGGACUGACACAUCUUCACCUCCAUUGCCCCUGGGGUCUGACCGGGAGGAAAUCCAGAGACAGUUCUGAUGGACAGUGUGGCUCCCGGUGACCUCUUGCUGUUUCUGAAAUCCAAAGGCAACCCAAAAGCCAACAAGAUAACACUCUCCUAAGAAGAUUCAGUAAGAAACAGACUUUCCAAAGAGCUUGGCGACAGCUUCAAAACUCAGAAGAAAAUAUAUGCCUGCCAUAUAUCAGCUGCUAUUGAGUACUGUUCUGACCAAUCCUCAUAGGUCACACUUUCAUGCUUAAAGUUCCUGGAAUGAAACACAGUCCUAAGCGAGCCAGGUGGCUGUUCUAAUGACUCAGGAUGGACUGCCCACAUCAUGUACCUCCCUCAUUGUACUUCCUGAUAAUGGAACUGAAGCUCAGGGAGGUUAAGUGGCCACUGAAGUGUCACACCGCUGUGCAGUGAACUAAAUUUGAUGUCAAACAGAAGUCUUCAACAGAUCUUUCUACUGUGCUGCUUGCUGUUUCCCUGCAUGGUCUGGGACUUUUGGGGGAAAAUGCCCCACAAUCUCUGGAGAUGCAGUCAGGAUAGCUCAGGCUGAAAACCUACAUCAGGGAAUGA